GGCCGGUUGGCCCAAUGGCAAGGCGUCUGACUACGAUUCAAUAUGUUAUCAGGAGAUUCUGGGUUCGACCCCCAGGCUGGUCA